GUAGAGUCAUACAGACCCUUUUCUUGCAGUCUAAAAAACAACUUAGAAUAUAAUAUGUGUGGUGAUGACGCAUUUAGAAGACGAAUCACAUUUCCAAAUGUACUGAACCAAAUGCCUAUGGGUCGGCUAUAGUAGGGGAUUAAGGCCACAAUCACAGGGACAA